UACGUAGGGGGCAAGCGUUGUCCGGAAUUAUUGGGCGUAAAGAGCUCGCAGGCGGUUCGAUAAGUCGGGUGUGAAACCCCCAGGCUCAACCUGGGGACGCCACCCGAUACUGUCGUGACUAGAGUCCAGUAGGGGAGUGUGGAAUUCCCGGUGUAGCGGUGAAAUGCGCAGAUAUCGGGAGGAACACCAGCGGCGAAGGCGGCACUCUGGGCUGGAACUGACGCUGAGGAGCGAAAGCGUGGGUAGCAAACAGG
rnacentral:rRNA from 1 species